GAUGAACGCUAGCUACAGGCUUAACACAUGCAAGUCGAGGGGCAGCAUGUUGGUUGCUUGCAACCAACGAUGGCGACCGGCGCACGGGUGAGUAACGCGUAUCCAACCUGCCCUUGUCCAUCGGAUAACCCGUCGAAAGGCGGACUAACACGAUAUGCAGUCCACAGCAGGCAUCUAACGUGGACGAAAUGUGAAGGAGAAGGAUGGGGAUGCGUCUGAUUAGCUUGUUGGCGGGGUAACGGCCCACCAAGGCGACGAUCAGUAGGGGUUCUGAGAGGAAGGUCCCCCACAUUGGAACUGAGACACGGUCCAAACUCCUACGGGAGGCAGCAGUGAGGAAUAUUGGUCAAUGGGCGAGAGCCUGAACCAGCCAAGUAGCGUGCAGGAUGACGGCCCUAUGGGUUGUAAACUGCUUUUAUACGGGGAUAAAGUGAGCCACGUGUGGCUUAUUGCAGGUACCGUAUGAAUAAGGACCGGCUAAUUCCGUGCCAGCAGCCGCCGUAAGAC
rnacentral:rRNA from 1 species